AUUGAACGCUGGCGGCAGGCCUAACACAUGCAAGUCGCACGAGUGGCGGACGGGUGAGUAAUGUCUGGGAAACUGCCUGAUGGAGGGGGAUACCUACUGGCAACGGUAGCUAAUACCGCAUACCAUCAGAUGUUCCCAGAUGGGAUUAGAGAGUAGGUGGGGUAACGGCUCACCUAGGCGACGAUCCCUAGCUGGUCUGUGAGGAUGACCAGCCACACUGGAACUGAGACACGGGCCAGACUCCUACGGGAGGCAGCAGUGGGGAAUAUUGCACAAUGGGCGCAAGCCUGAUGCAGCCAUGCCGCGUGUAUGAAGAAGGCCUUCGGGUUGUAAAGUACUUUCAGCGAGGAGGCGUUACCCGCAGAAGAAGCACCGGCUAACUCCGUGCCAGCAGCCGCGGUAAUUC
rnacentral:rRNA from 1 species